rnacentral:lncRNA from 1 species
UCCAGCCCCCUAAUAUGAUAUUCUUCGUGUUCACUUAUAUUGUCAUAAAGUGGUAUGUUUGCCUUCCAUUUAAAGACGGAACCAUUUCUUUUCAUGUGUAUGCCACCAUUUCUUGGUCUGUCAGCAAGUUUAUGAGUUGUUUCUGCAUUUUGGUUACCGUGACUCUUGCCCCAGUUGGCAUGGAAGUCUGAUACUCCUUGUUUUUAGCACAGUCUCUAACACCCAGUUUGAAAGUACAUAGUAGGUUCAAAUACCUGACCUGCUAGAACUUUCCUCAGUGGGAACCUGCCUGCUUUUUCUGGCAUGUGUCUCUGUAAAGAGUUGUGUUUUAGCAUCUGGUUCACCAAAUCACUUGGUAAGUCUUUGAUUUCUGCUGAAUACAACUUAGAAGCCAUUUGCCCUCUGGGUUUGUUGUUGCUUGG